GGAGGAGUCCCAGGGAGUCUUGGGCAGUUUUUUACCAUCUUUAUCCUUGUGGAGAAUCACAGCCCACACGCAAAGAUGAUGUGCAAAUUCAUGAGGCACUCCAUGGCAGCUGUGAACAUGUGUGUCAAGGUUUCACUUUUCCAUGUAACCCUAAAGAGUGGACACAAAAGACAUGUAUUUGCUUGAAAGGUGAGAGAACAGCAGAGAGACCAUCUGCAGAGGAAGAUGGGCAAUUGUGAAAAGAGGUCAAGAACAAAAUAGGGAAGAAGGAGCAGCAGAUCCAGAGGUCAGCGGAAGGACAGAGGCCGUGAGUUGGAGGUGUACCCACUCAUCCCACACGUAAGCUCCUUUCACUGAGGCAGCGGGGAGCGAUCUCUCUGAAAAGCACCUACCGCAAGGAAGUCCUGACUCUUCUGUGCCUUACAGAUAUGACUCAAACAGAGAUACUCAUUCUCAAAAUGAAAGCAGGCAGAGUGAAGUUACUGGUGUGACGGACGCUUGACAGUGAGGGCUCCAGAGCAGGAGAGUGCUGGCUGUCCCCAUGAGUGACAGACCCACCAUCAGGUUUUCUACACUGCAUAUGCAAUCACCCCAAAUAGCUAUUUUGUGUGAUUAUGACCAAGGAAAUUUACUUUUUAAAUUAUUCUAGACAAAAAGUAUUCCAUAAAGCAGCCAUGGGCAAUCUCUGAGCCAAGAAACUGCAGGUGUAUUUAGAAGUCCUAAAACGGUCUGGCCGUUCUCCCUUGUCCUUGCUCUUCCUUAUCUACAAAUUGUUCCCCUCCAAAAGGGACUUAAAGAUUCCCUUACAAGACUUCAACAACUUCAUCUUCUCCUUCUUUAUUACCUUUAGUGUUGUCCAGUUAGGGGAAAAGUGAGGAGCCUCUUACAUCAGUAAUGGCAAUAGUUAAUAACAGGAAUACAGGCUGUGAAGAAGCAGUUGUUUAGUCAAAACCUUUGUUAAAUCUCUUUGAAAAAUAAAAAUUUGUAAAACUAUUUUUUUAUGGAAUGCUUUCAAAACACAGAAAGCUAUGAAAUUCAGUGAUUUGUGCAUUAGUAAUUACUAUUGCUCUGAACUAAAGAAAAAGUGAAAGGCAUCAGUAGUUGAAUACUC
ensembl:lncRNA